UACGUAGGGGGCGAGCGUUGUCCGGAAUUAUUGGGCGUAAAGAGCUCGUAGGCGGAUGUGCCAGUCAGGGGUGAAAUCCCGGAGCUCAACUCCGGAACUGCCUCUGAUACAGCACGUCUUGAGUUCGAGAGAGGUGGGUGGAAUUCCUAGUGUAGAGGUGAAAUUCGUAGAUAUUAGGAAGAACACCGGUGGCGAAGGCGGCCCACUGGCUCGAUACUGACGCUGAGGUGCGAAAGCGUGGGGAGCAAACAGG
rnacentral:rRNA from 1 species